rnacentral:rRNA from 1 species
UACGUAGGGUGCGAGCGUUAAUCGGAAUUACUGGGCGUAAAGCGUGCGUAGGCGGUUAUUUAAGUCGGGUGUGAAAGCCCCGGGCUCAACCUGGGAACGGCGCUUGAGACUGGCACGCUCGAGUUCGGGAGAGGAUGGUGGAAUUCCCAGUGUAGAGGUGAAAUUCGUAGAUAUUGGGAAGAACACCGAUGGCGAAGGCAGCCUUCUGGACCGACACUGACGCUGAGGCGCGAAAGCGUGGGGAGCAAACAGG